AUGGAUUAAGAGCUUGCUCUUAUGAAGUUAGCGGCGGACGGGUGAGUAACACGUGGGUAACCUGCCCAUAAGACUGGGAUAACUCCGGGAAACCGGGGCUAAUACCGGAUAACAUUUUGAACUGCAUGGUUCGAAAUUGAAAGGCGGCUUCGGCUGUCACUUAUGGAUGGACCCGCGUCGCAUUAGCUAGUUGGUGAGGUAACGGCUCACCAAGGCAACGAUGCGUAGCCGACCUGAGAGGGUGAUCGGCCACACUGGGACUGAGACACGGCCCAGACUCCUACGGGAGGCAGCAGUAGGGAAUCUUCCGCAAUGGACGAAAGUCUGACGGAGCAACGCCGCGUGAGUGAUGAAGGCUUUCGGGUCGUAAAACUCUGUUGUUAGGGAAGAACAAGUGCUAGUUGAAUAAGCUGGCACCUUGACGGUACCUAACCAGAAAGCCACGGCUAACUACGUGCCAGCAGCCGCGGUAAUACGUAGGUGGCAAGCGUUAUCCGGAAUUAUUGGGCGUAAAGCGCGCGCAGGUGGUUUCUUAAGUCUGAUGUGAAAGCCCACGGCUCAACCGUGGAGGGUCAUUGGAAACUGGGAGACUUGAGUGCAGAAGAGGAAAGUGGAAUUCCAUGUGUAGCGGUGAAAUGCGUAGAGAUAUGGAGGAACACCAGUGGCGAAGGCGACUUUCUGGUCUGUAACUGACACUGAGGCGCGAAAGCGUGGGGAGCAAACAGGAUUAGAUACGCUGGUAGUCCACGCCGUAAACGAUGAGUGCUAAGUGUUAGAGGGUUUCCGCCCUUUAGUGCUG
rnacentral:rRNA from 1 species